CAGUGCGAGCUCCCUCAGUCCCGCGCGCGCAGCCUGGCCCCGCCCCCCAAGGUUCCCGAGCUUCAGCAGGGAGCCCGCGGGUGAAGCUCAGGGUCGGGAGCAGGGGCCAGACCCCCAGCCCAUACGUCACGGGACUGGCUCAAAUCAGCGGGGUCAAACCCCAGCUGGGGUAGGAGCUGCUCGUGCAGAGCUCUUCCCUCCGCCCCGCGGGCUGUCAUCUGAGGCUCCCACCUAAUCACGGGACUCCCGGCGCUGGGGCUUUCAGGGCAGCAGCUCUGCACGGCCAGAUUCCUGCUACAAUCACAAAGGGACAAGCAAGUCUUCCUGGAUCAGGUGAACAGCAGUAUAAGCCGUUGCAGCCCCUUCUCUGCCAAGGACCCCAGAACUGGGCAGCGCAGCCUAGCUGGCACUUCCAACUCAGCUGCACCAAGGGAGGCACCCAGGACUCUUGGGGACAGGACCUUCAACCAAAAGAACUCAGACUUCGCCGUAUCGUAUAGCCAACCUGAUUUAUUAACACAACUAAAAGUAUUAUAAUAACCAGAAAUAUCACUAAAACCUUUGCAGGCAUGCCAGGUGCCUGUCCACAAAUAACUACUUAC